rnacentral:rRNA from 1 species
CAGCCGCCGCGGUAAUACGAAGGGGGCUAGCGUUGUUCGGAUUUACUGGGCGUAAAGCGCACGUAGGCGGAUCGAUCAGUCAGGGGUGAAAUCCUGGAGCUCAACUCCAGAACUGCCUUUGAUACUGUCGAUCUCGAGUCCGGAAGAGGUGAGUGGAACUCCUAGUGUAGAGGUGGAAUUCGUAGAUAUUAGGAAGAACACCAGUGGCGAGGCGGCUCACUGGUCCGGUACUGACGCUGAGGUGCGAAAGCGUGGGGAGCAAACAGGAUUAGAUACCCCCGUAGUCCCUGUCUCUUAUACA